rnacentral:rRNA from 1 species
GAAUAUUGGACAAUGGGCGCAAGCCCGAUCCAGCCAUACCGCGUGGGUGAAGACGGCCUUCGGGUGGUAAAGCCCUUUUGUUGGGAAAGAAAAGCAGUCGGCUAAUACCCGGUUGUUCUGACGGUACCCAAAGAAUAAGCCACGGCUAACUUAGGGCCAGCACCCGCGGUACUGCGAAGGAUGCAAGAGUUACGCGGAAUUACUGGGCGUAAAGGGUGCGUAGGUGGUUGUUUAAGUCUGUUGUGAAAGCCCUGGGCUCAACCUGGGAAUUGCAGUGGAUACUGGGCGACUAGAGUGUGGUAGAGGGUAGUGGAAUUCCCGGUGUAGCAGUGAAAUGCGUAGAGAUCGGGAGGAACAUCCAUGGCGAAGGCAGCUACCUGGACCAACACUGACACUGAGGCACGAAAGCGUGGGGAGCAAACAG